rnacentral:lncRNA from 1 species
CCACUUCCCUCUAUGUCCAGGCUCCACAGUGAGCCCGUCCCAGACUCCCACUCCCCCAGAGCCACAGUGAUCAAAGGAAGGGAGGAAAACACGCUGGAACCCCUUGGACCUGCUGCUGAAUGGGGAUUUUGGUCGGAUGUUGAGUUUACCUGGAAUGCCCCGGUGCUAUUUUGGGAAGACAGACAUCCUAUGGAAACAAUGAAGUGGAAAAGAAAACAACUAAAGCAAAAUCCAGAGCCCAGUUUCUGCUAACCCAGCUCCACACAGCCUGGGCAGACCGUGGAAGCCCGUCAGGCGUGCAAAGGGCUGAGACUGAGUGUGUCCGGUUUACCAGCAGAGAAUGCGAGAUGUAGAAAAAGGGUCCCUUUGACAUUUCCAACAAGUCAGUGACGAAAUGGAAAGAUCCUGGGAACAGUCUGCAGCUAUGAGGAAGGAACUGUGCUCUGUGAUCAUGCCGGACAGAAGGAGAACAGAGUCAAAUGGGCUAACAUGUGUCUGUGCUCCUCUUGAGAGGCAAACCACAGGCCCAAAUCACAGCACUAACAAGUGGCAAAGCAAAGGAAGGAAUGCAGGUGCAGCUGGUUCCAGCGCUCAGGGCUCCUUCCUUCCCUGGAUGCGGAGAAUAUUCUAGCCUUCCUCGCCAAAACAGGCAGAGCAGAGCCAAGAGAUUUUGCAAAGACUGAAUCAUGAAGAAGGAACCAGGCCUCCCCUGGAUGAGCCUUGGAAAGCCCAACCACAGGGUCACAAAAAACAGUGAGGAAACAGAGGCACAGAGAGGUUAAGCAGUCUGCCUGAGGUCACCAAGUGAGAGAACUGAGAACUGUGAACCCACAGCUUUUGGAGUCUUAUACCUCUAGGUGGGAGAAUUUUCAGUCUGGGACAUGACUGAGGGAGUGGAAAUAAAGCGGAGGUUAGCAGUGUCCUUACUCCCACGAGGACAGGCCAGGAGCUCUGGCCCUGCCACAUUCAGGCCCCUGGGACCCACAGCACUGCAGCAGAACCAGAGAAGGUGAGACACUCUGACCACAUCCCACAAGGAUUAAAUCUGAAUCUCCAGGUGCAGCCCAGGAAUCAGCUUGUUAGAGCCUCUCUGGUGAUUCCAAUGCACAGUCAAGGUUGAGAAGCAACCUCCCCGCUGUAUAGAUGGGGACACUGAGCCCAGGGAGGGGAAUUAGAUUUCCCCAGGCUGUGCAACCCAUACCACCACUAAGGACUCCAUCCAGGGUCUUCUAAUUCUCCAUCAGCCAGGACUUGCUUGCAGGACCACCUCUCCCACUGACUAGCUGUGUAGCCUUGAGUGGGUCAUUUAACUUCACGAUGAAAGACUUUACUUAAACUCUUAAGAUGGCACAAGUGCUCAAGAAACACCAGUGUUCUCCCUGCCCAGCCCCCACCUCAAAUUCAGCCCACUAUCUACUAUAUAACAAUGGACAGAGAAAAUUGUGAGCAAGGAUGGAAUUGAGAAUCUGACUGUUCUUGAGCCUUAAGGACAGGACUUGGAGUACCCCAGAAGUGUUGCCUGCCCAGAGGAGUCCUGGGGAAGGACCCAGAUGCCAAACCAAUGACCUGUGAGAGGUGACUGGGGGAGGGGGUGAGAAGGAGCGCACAGGGAUGAGAUUGCUGCUGCGGAGCUGGAAAGGCAGCCCAGAGUGGGUCAAUCCCGUCCUACCAGGAAAUGCAGGUAGUGCCACCAGGUGGAGAGUGAUGCUUUGUCUUAAGAGCCCUGGCAAGGCACUCUUAAGAUAGCGACAGCUGAAAGGCAAGUGAGGGCAUGUGCUCCCCCACCCGCACACGCCUGUGCUGUAUAAAUAAACGAUUGAUUACAACUCUAAUAUAAAUAUCCCACACUGUUAACAGUGUUUAUUUCCAGCACAGUGGAAUGAUGGUGAACUUUCACUUUCCUGGUCGUCUGUUUCUUUGAUAUUUAGCUUUUUCAUAACAACCAUUGCACUACUUUUGUCAUAAAAAAUAACGAAUUUUUAAAUGCUGAUAUAAAUAUUUGCAGAACACCAGGUACCUAUGCUUUCAAAUGGCCUUUCAGAGAAAGUCAGUCAUUUGGAGAAAGAUUUUCAAAGUAUUGCGACACAGGUGCAAUUUGGUGCCCUCUCCCUUGUCUUAGCUGUUUUAAAUGACAGCUUCCUCAGUCCUGGGGCUGCCCUUCACACUCCCAAUGGAAGCAUUUUAGGCCUACUCAGCUCUUCUGUCCUUACUAUUACUCUGCCAUCAAAAAGAAAAAGAAAAAGAAAAAACCCUGCCUUUCUCCCCCGCCAUGGCCAGGUGCUCUGUCUCUACAGUCACAUCGGAGACACACAUCUUUCAUGCCUCGUUCCUCAACAGCAAGAACACACCUGCCUCCAGCUUGUAGGAUUAAUUACCCCCUAACAAAUAAUAACUCCCAGUGCAGGAGGAGUAGAGGCAAGAGGCUCUAAAAAUGUGAUUGUGCGAGAGAAACCUUGCUGUUUUGUACCAGAAAGUGGCCGCAAGCAUGGCUGCCCCCGGGUGUGACGUACUGAGGAGACAGCAAUGGGGAGCACUUCAAAAUGAGAAACUUUCUGGAAAGUACAGCAAAGGUGGCCCAGGUAUGCAGGGUUCAGCUUCUGGGGCAGUCUCCCAGCUUCUUGGUGGUGCCCUCCGGAUCCUGCUGCUUUGCCCCUCCUGACGCACCCGGGAGUGGAAAUGCUGAGCAGAACACCGUGGAACUACAACACGUUAGUGGAGGGGCAAUCGUGGGGACACUCGGCCAGCUGUCCAUUUGGUGAGCAUAUGCCCCGGACGCCAGAAGACGUGUGUCUGCCUGACUCAUGAGUGAGUGUGAGUCUAGUGCUCAAAGUACACAUUUUCCACACAACAUGGUCCCUAAAUGCAAGACAGCCACCUCGUUGCAUUUGUUCACCUAAAGUCACAACAUCUGUUCUCGUGCUGAUGGCAACACCAGCUGGUGGGACUAAAUGAGAGAGUUUGUCAGAGUCUCCAACAUGGUACCUUCUGGAAGGGGAGUCAAGGUGAUUUUGAUCAUGGACAAUCUUUCCUCAUGUGCUGACUUUAGAGAAUAACUCCAUAUAAGAUGUGACUCCCCAUAAGUGUAGGAUCCUAGCUCCUGCUUCAAUUGCUGCCAAUAUUCCUUUGUUCUCCUUCCAUGCAGCUCCAGACCCUUGUCCCCAGGUUUUGAUGCCACCCCCAGGCCUUUGCCUGGGAUGGAAAGUCACCUGCUCCGUCACAGGGGAUACCCGGAAUAUCUGGGUUGGAUCACAGGCCAGCAGAAUUUGCGGAGGUUCAUCUCAUCCCAUAACAACCAAAAGGACUUGAGAGCUUGAUAUUUAAUGGAAAAGCCAUCACCAUUCUCAUGGAACUCAGCUGAAAGGAUGUAUGCUCAUGGGUGCCAGGCCCUUUAUAGUCACAAGAAUCUGAACUAUGAAGACACUGGAUGGGGCACAAGGCCCUGGGCUCGGAGAGAGAUGAAGUGUUUCUCUGGAAGAGAAUCUUGGCCUCUUGCAGACCUGGGAAGUGCCAGGGCUUAGCUCCUGAGUGAAGAUCGCUGGUGCUGACAGCUGGGAGUCAGGGCUCUGGGGCCACUCAUUGUGCAGGAGCCAGUGGUCCUGGUGCAGGAGGAGCCCUUCCAAAGGUGGGGGCGUUGGAUCCUACAGACACAGGCUGGCCCCUCUGGGGGCUCCUGUGGUGUCAGAGCCAUUUCCCAAGCACCUGCCACGGUUAUCAGCUCAGGCUGAGUGCUUCUGGAGUGGUGGAGAGAGGGCGGAGGGAGAGAAGCAGCCAUGGGCUUCCUCCCAGGCAGCUCAGCAGCCUGGAGGAAUCAAGGGACACUGUGCAUUCCCUCUAGAGUUGUCUCCAGCCUGCUCUGGUUUGGAACACACAUGUGGGGUCCGGAAGGCUGAGUUUCCAAUCCCACUCCCACUAGGUACCAGUCGAGUGCUGUGGACAAGUCCCUUGACUCUUCUGAGCCUCAGCCUUCUCACCUGUAAAGUGGGGAUAAGAAGACUAUCCUCGCAAGGUUGUUACAGGGCUAUAUGAGAAAAGCGAGAAAGGGACAAAGGUGUGUCGUAGAGCAUGAGUCUGCUAGGACACAUGGGUCACAUGGUGGUGGGGACAGGGAAGGACAGGUGGGGAUCCUAGACAAUGAAAAAGUUUUUGCAUCCUCAAUGACGUCUUCCGUUUGUUUCGUUUCUGAUGAAGGCUUUGAGGAAAGGAGAGGAGCUCCCUGGGAGGAGAGGAAGGGGCCUGGAACACAGGGUGGGGAGGGGAGGAGACCAGGAUGAACAAGGACCCCUCCUUCUGGGUAGCCACAGGGUCCGCCUUCAUAUUUUUAAUGUCCCACCUGUCAGGUAAAGACUCC